rnacentral:rRNA from 1 species
GUUGUAUGGUUAAGUGACUAAGCGUACAUGGUGGAUGCCUUGGCAGUCAGAGGCGAUGAAGGACGUACUAACCUGCGAUAAGCUGUGAGAAGUCGGUAAGAGACGCUAUUACUCACAGAUUUCCGAAUGGGGAAACCCACCCGAGAUAACUCGGGUAUCUGUUACUGAAUACAUAGGUAACAGAGGCGAACCGGGAGAACUGAAACAUCUAAGUACCCCGAGGAAAAGAAAUCAACCGAGAUUCCCUCAGUAGCGGCGAGCGAACGGGGAUUAGCCCUUAAGCAUCUUGGAAGUUAGUGGAACGGUCCUGGAAAGGCCGGCGAUACAGGGUGAUAGCCCCGUACACGAAAACAACCUUGAUGUGAAAUCGAGUAGGGCGGGACACGUGACAUCCUGUCUGAAUAUGGGGGGACCAUCCUCCAAGGCUAAAUACUCCUGACUGACCGAUAGUGAACCAGUACCGUGAGGGAAAGGCGAAAAGAACCCCUGUGAGGGGAGUGAAAUAGAACCUGAAACCGUGUACGUACAAGCAGUGGGAGCCCUUCGGGGUGACUGCGUACCUUUUGUAUAAUGGGUCAGCGACUUACAUUUUGUAGCGAGGUUAACCGUAUAGGGGAGCCGUAGGGAAACCGAGUCUUAACUGGGCGUCUAGUUGCAAGGUGUAGACCCGAAACCGGGUGAUCUAGCCAUGGGCAGGUUGAAGGUUGAGUAACAUCAACUGGAGGACCGAACCCACUAACGUUGCAAAGUUAGGGGAUGACCUGUGGCUGGGGGUGAAAGGCCAAUCAAACUCGGAGAUAGCUGGUUCUCCCCGAAAGCUAUUUAGGUAGCGCCUCGGACGAAUACUACUGGGGGUAGAGCACUGUUUGGGCUAGGGGGUCAUCCCGACUUACCAACCCCAUGCAAACUCCGAAUACCAGUAAGUAAUAUCCGGGAGACACACGGCGGGUGCUAACGUCCGUCGUGAAGAGGGAAACAACCCAGACCGCCGGCUAAGGUCCCAAAGUUCUGGUUAAGUGGGAAACGAUGUGGGAAGGCUCAGACAGCUAGGAUGUUGGCUUAGAAGCAGCCAUCAUUUAAAGAAAGCGUAAUAGCUCACUAGUCGAGUCGGCCUGCGCGGAAGAUGUAACGGGGCUCAAACCAGGCACCGAAGCCGCGGAUUCACACUUAUGUGUGAGUGGUAGGGGAGCGUUCUGUAAGUCUGCGAAGGUGUAUCGAGAGGUAUGCUGGAGAUAUCAGAAGUGCGAAUGCUGACGUAAGUAACGAUAAAGGGGGUGAAAAGCCUCCUCGCCGGAAGACCAAGGGUUCCUGUCCAACGUUAAUCGGGGCAGGGUGAGUCGACCCCUAAGGUGAGGCCGAAAGGCGUAAUCGAUGGGAAGCAGGUUAAUAUUCCUGCACGACUUGUAAUUGCGAUG